rnacentral:rRNA from 1 species
GACGAACGCUGGCGGCGUGCUUAACACAUGCAAGUCGAGCGGAAAGGCCUCCUUCGGGGGGUACUCGAGCGGCGAACGGGUGAGUAACACGUGAGUGAUCUGCCCUCUACUCUGGGAUAACUGCUUGAAAGGGUGGCUAAUACCGGAUAUUCCUGUGGGAUCGCAUGGUUUUUCAGGGAAAGCUUUUGUGGUGGGGGGUGUGCUCGCGGCCUAUCAGCUUGUUGGUGGGGUAAUGGCCUACCAAGGCUUUGACGGGUAGCCGGCCUGAGAGGGGGACCGGCCACACUGGGACUGAGACACGGGGCAGGCUCCUACGGGAGGCAGCGGUGGGGAAUAUUGGACAAUGGGCGGAAGCCUGAUCCAGCCAUGCCGCGUGUGUGAAGAAGGCCUUUUGGUUGUAAAGCACUUUAAGCGAGGAGGAGGCUACCUGGAUUAAUACUCUAGGAUAGUGGACGUUACUCGCAGAAUAAGCACCGGCUAACUCUGUGCCAGCCGCCGCGGUAACAC